rnacentral:misc_RNA from 1 species
CAAACGCUUCGGUAAGCACUUACUUCUAUUACUUGAUUGGGUCUGUAGCUCAGUUGGUUAAUGCGCACCCCCGCCUGUAUAAAGAGGAGGGUGAGGUCGCACCGACCUGCUGGCUUCCAACUUGAAAAGAGUUUGGGUCUGUAGCUCAGUUGGUUAGAGCGCACCCCUGAUAAGGGUGAGGUCGGUGGUUCAAAUCCACCCAGACCCACCAGAUUCCAGGACUGUUUUACAGUCCGGAAUUGAUUUUGGAACGCUGUUCCGGAAUCAAUGUUCUUUAACAAAUCGGUGUAAUAGAAAGCUUUGGAAAUUCCUGAACGUAUCAGCUCAGGGGUUUUCGAAAAAAGUCGUAUUGGCUGGACUUUUGUGAUGAGGGUCUGGUUGAUAUGCGAAGUACUGUACAAGCGCAAUAUUUGUGUAUGUUUAUCGGCGGUUGCUUGGGCUGAGUUUUCUGUGAUUUCCUGCGGGUUGCCACAUUAUCUCCGUGGCAUUAAGGGAAGUUUUGGGAGACGUGUCAUGAUCUUUAACUUGUGAUCAUGGUUAUCAAGGUUUAAGUAACUAUGUUAUGGCUUUAUGACGGAUUUUUCAUGAUAAGAACAGCUUGGCUGUUCAUAUAUCAGGGGGACAGGUCAGCUGUUCCUGGAGAGUUCAUAGUUAUAUGGUCAAGUGAAUAAGCGUGCGUGGUGGAUGCCUUGGC